GAGGGAGGAGAAGGUGGCAAAGAGCUUCCUAGGGUUAGAGGCAGAUGCUUGGAAUUUAGAGUGGUAGAAAGUGGCUUUAGCAGCAGAGACAGAGGAGGAAAAUGUAGAGAGGAAGGAGUGAAAGGAUGCCAGGUCUGCAGGGAGGCGAGUUUUCCUCCAUUUCUGCUCGGCUGCCCGGAGCCCUGUUCUGUGAGCUCGCAAUGAGUCGUCGAGCCACGGAGCGGGAGGGGAGGACCGAGCCGGCCUGGAGGAUAGGGGACAUAGAGAGUCAAAGGAUGCAGAGAGGGAGGAGAGGAGGGUUGAGGAGGCAGAAUCAGGAGAUAGGUUGGAGAAGGUUUGAGCAGAGGGAAGAGAUGAUAGGAUGGAAGAGGACAGAGUAGCGGGGGAGAGAGAGCGAAGGUUGGGACGGCGCGAUACCAUCCGAGUAGGGGCAGUGUGGGAGGUGUUGGAUGAGAGCGAGAGGGAAAAGGAUACAAGGUAGUGGUCGGAGACUUGGAGGGGAGUUGCAAUGAGGUUAGUGGAAGAACAGCAUCUAGUAAAGAUGAGGUCGAGCGUAUUGCCUGCCUUGUGAGUAGGGGGGGGGAAGGUGAGAGGGUGAGGUCAAAAGAGGAGAGGAGUGGAAAGAAGGAGGCAGAGAGGAAUGAGUCAAAGGUAGACGUGGGGAGGUUAAAGUCGCCCAGAACUGUGAGAGGUGAGCCGUCCUCAGGAAAGGAGCUUAUCAAGGUAUCAAGCUCAUUGAUGAACUCUCCGAGGGAACCUGGAGGGCGAUAAAUGAUAAGGAUGUUAAGCUUGAAAGGGCUGGUAACUGUGACAGCAUGGAAUUCAAAGGAGGCGAUAGACAGAUGGGUAAGGGGAGAAAGAGAGAAUGACCACUUGGGAGAGAUGAGGAUCCCGGUGCCACCACCCCGCUGACCAGAAGCUCUCGGGGUGUGCGAGAACACGUGGGCGGACGAAGAGAGAGCAGUAGGAGUAGCAGUGUUGUCUGUGGUGAUCCAUGUUUCCGUCAGUGCCAAGAAGUCGAGGGACUGGAGGGAGGCAUAGGCUGAGAUGAACUCUGCCUUGUUGGCCGCAGAUCGGCAGUUUCAGAGGCUACCGGAGACCUGGAACUCCACGUGGGUCGUGCGCGCUGGGACCACCAGAUUAGGGUGGCCGCGGCCACGCGGUGUGGAGCGUUUGUAUGGUCUGUGCAGAGAGGAGAGAACAGGGAUAGACAGACACAUAGUUGACAGGCUACAGAAGAGGCUACGCUAAUGCAAAGGAGAUUGGAAUGACAAGUGGACUACACGUCUCGAAUGUUCAGAAAGUUAAGCUUACGUAGCAAGAAUCUUAUUGACUAAAAUGAUUAAAAUGAUACAGUACUGCUGAAGUAGGCUAGCUGGCAGUGGCUGCGUUGUUGACUUUGUAGGCUAGCUGGCAGUGGCUGCGUUGUUGACACUACACUAAUCAAGUCGUUCCGUUGAGUGUAAUAGUUUCGACAGUGCUGCUAUUCGGGGGCUAGCUGGCUAGCUAGCAGUGUUGAUUACGUUACGUUGCAUUAAAAGAACGACAAUAGCUGGCUAGCUAACCUAGAAAAACGCUCUAGACUACACAAUUAUCUUUUAUACAAAGACGGCUAUGUAGCUAGCUAUGUAGCUAGCUACGAUCAAACAAAUCAAACCGUUGUACUGUAAUGAAAUGAAAUGAAAAUGUGAUACUACCUGUGAAUGCGACCGGGUUGUUGAGUUCUAUUCAGAAGACGUUGGCUAGCUGUUGGCUAGCUAGCAGAGUCUCCUACGUUAAGGACGACAAAUAGCUGGCUAGCUAACCUCGGUAAAUUAAGAUAAUCACUCUAAGACUACACACUCUAAACUACACAAUUAUCUUGGAUACGAAGACAGCAAAGACAGCUAUGUAGCUAGCUAACACUACACUAAUCAAGUCGUUCAGUUGAGUGUAAUAGUUUCUACAGUGCAGCUAAUCUUGUUUCUACGACCUGUAACGGAACGUUUUGAGUUUUGAGUUUUUGUCUGAACAAGCUAACAACAAGUGGCUAAAUUAUGGGCUUUUUGGAACUUUAUGGAACAAAUCAGUAAUUUAUUUUCAAACUGGGAUUCCUGGGACUGCCUUCUGAUGAAGAUAUUCAAAGGCAAGUGAAUAUUUAUAGUGUUUUUUGUAGCUUCUGUUGAUGCCAAAAUGGCGGCUAUUUCUUUGGGUUCUGAGCGCCGUUCUCAGAUUAUUAUUUUUCCAUACAGUUUGUUUUAAAUCUGACACAACGGUUGCAUAGAGGAUACGCUUAUCUUUAAUUCUGUGAAUAACACUUGCAUCUUUUAUCAAUAUUUAUGGUGAGUAUUUCUGCAAAAUCACCGGAUGUUUUGGAAUCAAAACAUUACUGCACGUAACACGCCAAUGUAAACUGAGAUCCUUUAUAUAAAUAUGCACAUUAUCGAACAAAACACACAAUACAUGUAUAACAUGAUGUCCUAUAAGUGUCAUCUGAUGGAGAUAAUCAAAGGUUAGUGAUUCAUUUUAUCUAUAUUUAUGCUUUUGUGACUGAAAAGUCGCUGUGUGUGUUUUUUUGAAUUUGGUGGUCAUCUAACAUAAAUAUAUGUUGUGUUUUCACUGUAAAACAUUUUAAAAAACGGACAUGAUGGGUAGAUUAACAAGAUGUUUAUCUUUCAUUUGCUGUAUUGGACUUGUUAAUGUGUGAAAGUUAAAUAUUUCUAAAGAAUAUUUUUUUCAGCUGAAUGGGAGGGGGUGUUCCCUUUAGGGAACUCUUGUGCCCCCUAGCCCCAGCUCCAAAGUAAAAAUUGGCUGUAGGCUUCAAAUCCGAUUGUGUUACUUUGUGCCUGUGUCAGCUAGUGACCACUUUGCUGAACUGCCUCCAGGGCAAGAUUCAUGACAAUAAAUGCCAACCUGCCUCCCAGUUAUCCCCUCCUUAUCUUUACAAGGCUGCAGAACAUGCAAGCUAGUGAUGUGGGGGUUCUCUCAUAACCCCCAGUCCCCAGGUGGGUAGAUGGCAGGUUGAAUAAAGAGACGCUAGUGAUGUGGGGGUUCUCUCAUAACCCUCAGUCCCCAGGUGGGUAGAUGGCAGGUUCUAUAAAGAGAAGCUAGUGAUGUGGGGGUUCUCUCAUAACCCUCAGUUCCCAGGUGGGUAGAUGGCAGGUUGAAUAAAGAGAAGCUGGUGGUGUGGGGGUUCUCUCAUAACCCUCAGUUCCCAGGUGGGUAGAUGGCAGGUUGAAUAAAGAGACGCUAGUGAUGUGGGGGUUCUCUCAUAACCCUCAGUCCCCAGGUGGGUAGAUGGCAGGUUCUAUAAAGAGAAGCUAGUGAUGUGGGGGUUCUCUCAUAACCCUCAGUUCCCAGGUGGGUAGAUGGCAGGUUGAAUAAAGAGACGCUAGUGAUGUGGGGGUUCUCUCAUAACCCUCAGUCCCCAGGUGGGUAGAUGGCAGGUUGUUAAGGGAUUUUUUUAUCAAUAAUGACUAAUUAUGUAUACAUUUCAAUCAGGACUGACUAAUCAGAAUACUAUUAUGUUACUGUAUAUGUGCUAAUCAGAAUACUAUUAUGUUACUGUAUAUGUAUGAAUAUUCUUUUUAAUCCUAGUACUGAAUAUAAUGUGUGUAAAUAUAAUCAAGAAUUAGAACAAUGACUGUCUGUACCAUGGUAGAAAUGAAUGAACUUAUAGCCAGACUGGCUAGAAGGCUUAUCUACACAAGCUGGCCUUGGCUCGGUCAUAUAUUAUCUUAAUAGGGGGAGACGAUGUGAGAACCAUACAGCCAUUCUACUGGAGCGGAGAGACACGGGCUAAAACUAAUGACGUCAUUUUCAGUUUAUAACCUGUGGUAAAAGUGUGUAAUGGACAGUAUUCUCGUGAAUAAACACUGCUGAUUGACUUUAA